CCUGGAAAAAAAAAGCAGAAUAUGCUAAGAAAGCUGUCAACAUUUCUGUCUUCAUUGGAUUCCAUGGACAAAAUUUCCUCUGCUAGGAUUUCAAUUCUCUAUACUGAGGUUAGAUCGAAGACAAAGGAAACCAGUAAAAUGGAAGUCUUUUACAUGCUUUUUUCCCCCCCCCUAAUUUUUCCUUACUGUUUCUUUCAAAAGUGUGUCUCAAUGAUUUGUUGAUCUGUGUUUGCUUGCAUUCUAGGGAAAAAUUUUGUGCUGACUUGUUUGUUAUAUUUUCUUAGAACCCAUAUGUGGUGUCACCUUCUGUUAUAUUGUUUCUGUAAUCAUGUAGGGCAAAAUACCUUUAAGAUUCCUGCUGCCAGGAUAAAGUAGAUCUUUUCUGAGCUAAAAUCUAUGCUACUGACAGUUACUUUUAAGCAACAUUACUAUGGUUCAAGGCUCUCCAUGUUAAUGUUGACUCUGCAGUUAGAGAAUUCAUUAGAUAUGCUUUAUGAAAUGGCAUGGACUGCUUUUGUGAUUCCAUGCUCAGCUCUAGAGCAGAGAACAAAGUAAUGUUAGCAACAAGUUUAAACAAAGCCUCAUGGAGUAGAUUCAAACUGAAAAGACCCUUUCAAAACAGAUAGUGCAUUAGGGAAGGGCUAGGUUAUAUGUGGAGUUUGGGUCUAAACCUGUGGUCCAGUCCAAACUUCCAGUCUUCUGCCCAAACAUCUGGACAUGAGUUGAUAUUUGCCUCUUUGGCAAGAUGUUCAUUUAUGAUUCUGACUUUUUUUU